GACGUCCCUGGACGGAUUGGCCAAGGUAGUGCGUCCAGGCGCACGGGACGCUAGGGUAGCGCGCAGCUGGGUUGGCUGCCUGCGUCGCGCAGGCGGUGGGUCUUUCGUCCUCGGACGUGACGGUUGGUCUCUCCGAGUGCCGGAAGCGGCGAGGGCACGCUCGAGAACCUGGGUCUGGCGUGGAAGGCGCUGGCCGACCGGACGUCAGCCGUGCGGCCGCGGCGCGAGCUACGUGCGGCCCGAGGCCCGAGGCCCGAGGCCUCUCGUCGUGAAACGUGCGCGAGGCGUCGAGCUGGCCGGGCGGGGGCAGGCCGCGCGCCCCGGCGGGAGGACGGCGGUCGGCGGUGACCUACACCGUGGCUCCCGACGCGGGACGCUGGGGGGCUUUGGGUUCGCUCGAGUUCCGCUUCCUUCCGUGCGCCCGCCGCUCGUCCAGGGGACUCAGCCGCGGAGGGGAGCCCGCGACCCCUCAUCUGGGGGGACUCACUGGGGCUGGAGGAGAGCCUGCGACCCCGUCCCCGUGCUCGAGGAGUGGAGGACGCUCCGCCGCCAGGCCACCCACCAGCCGGAGCCCGGGCAGCCUCAUCACCUCUCAGACCCUCAGUCUCAUUGGCGGAGCGGGAACCAUGGACAGCCCUGCUCUCAAAGGGCCGCCCGGAAGGUUCCACCAGGGGUGUGCACAACCCUGAGAACAGUGCUCGUCCUGUGGGAAACCGUGGAGAACUUCAGACUCCUCUGGGCAGCUAGAUUGUGCUCUCCCCACUCUUACCCAGUAACUUCCCUGGAUGGGGACACCUGACGAUAACAGCCAACCCAGGGGCUGACGAGCAUCCAAGAAGACCCAAGGGUUCCCAGAGUUGCCUCAUUACGGGGUGACUGAUGGACUUUCCAAGAGCAGCUGGCCUGAAGCCCCUCGGCUGACAGUGAGCAGGAACAAGAGCCAACGCCUCCUCCGUGCUCAGGAACAAAGGGAGGAGUUCAAGGGACAGACGCCCUCUGCUCCUGUCCCCUUCCCACAACCCAGGCUAAAAGGGCAGCCCUUCCAUACCUCCUGAGGCUUCACUUUGCUCAUGGAUCUUGGCACCUAGUGUCAGUGCAGACACCAAGGACACACCCUGACUGGUGGCAGUGCAGACACCUAGGACACACCCUGACUCAAACCAGGAGUUCACUGUGAGAUUGUCUCUGAGUCAGUUAAGGGAAGCCCCGCUGAAAUGUCCUGACGUGCAGAGUUCAGAGAGUGGAGGAAGUACAAAUGAGUAAACAGAAGUUAGGAAGUACAGAAAGAACAGAGAGAGCAGGUGACAGAAAUGGCUGAAAGUGAAGCUGACAUCCUGGCAGGAGAUGAUGCCUCUGAAGUGGGGCCUGAGAGCCAAGGGAGGCCUGGGGAGCCAGUUGUCCUACAGACCAUCCCUUCUAGGGGCCAGGUCAUGGGGCAUCUGAAUCCUUAAACUAACCCCUAUUGCCAAAAGCACAGGAGCCUCCCUCUGGGCCACUGCAGAGGGGAACUGGAGCAGGGUGGGUUCAUUCAAGCUCACCUCUCACCUGAGGCCUGGAACACAGCCAGCCUUCAAAGCACACUUGUUAAAUAAAUGUUUCAAUAAAUGGAUCAAUAGUCUGUUUUCCCAAAACCUCAUUUCCCACAACAUCCUAGGAAUAACUCACAGAUAUGAAGGGCUGGCUUCCCAGUUGACAAGUUGCUCUCACAUACUUUUAUUGCAUUUUAUCUUUACAACAACCCUAUGGGAAAGCCAAAGCUGACAUUAGCCUCAUUUUGCAGAUAAUUGUUAUCCCCAUUUUGCUGAUGAGAAAGUUGAGGCUGGGAGAAGGUCAUGACUUGCUCAAGGUCAUAGGCUGAGAAGGACAGAAGCCAGGGUUCCUUCCCCAGAGGCUUGUCAUUCACCCUGCACUGUUUCCAACUGAAUGGCCGGGCAAAGAGGUUCGACCACAGUAACAAUUUUAUCUCAAACAAUAGUUAGAGGAUUGCAUCUUGUACUCUUCUCCAAAACAUGCAAGUAUGCUAGAGGCUUUGAGUCACAAACCCUCUGAGCAGAGUGAUGAGGGAACAGGGGUGAGGGCGAGGGGCCUGGUCCCUUCCUGUCAGGGUGGUGUUGCACAAGCUUCUAGAGGGUGCAAGAAACCACAGGGAAGUUUGCCUACAGUCACAGUCACGGGACCGGUCUGGGGAGAGUGAGGGCAGGACACAGCCAGCCCGAAGGCAGAAAGUGGGCGGGACAAUCUAACCAGCGACAGAAAAAAUCCUGGAGGAGGAGCUGGGGAGGACGAAAUGACUGUGAAGGAAGACUGCAGGACGACAAGGCAGUUCAGCCGUGUAGUUCGCCUGGCCCCGGCUUAGGGCUGCUCCCUCCACGAACCAUCCACAAAUAAGGACCUCACAAAGGCACCGCUGCCUGAGAGCUGAGGACCAGUAAUCAGGACACUUCGUUUAAAAAGUGUCCCCAGCCCUCUCUGGUUUCAGGGGAGGGCGGGGAGGGCUGCAGCGUCACCAGGUGACUGUUGCAGCAGCGCAUGGCGGGGGCGCGGGCCGGGAACCAGUCAGACCGGCCCUGAAACGCGGUCCUCGCUCCUUAGCCGCGACUUUGGACAGGCGAGUCUCCCUUUCCCGAGUCUGUUUCGUUGCCGGUAACGCAGUUUUUAAAGACGUUUACUUCGCAGAGUGAAUAUGACAUGAGUGUUCGGACGGAGCCGGGCACCGGGGCGCUCUCGGCAGGACUGCUCACUGUUACGGUCACUCGCCGCUGGGGAUUCGGGGAAAACAGAAAAGCACAGAAAUAAGCGUCUGUCACACGUCCACCCGGCCCGCCCUUCCAGCCCUCGGCGGCCCCUGAGCUCGGUGCCGCUCCGGCCCUCGGCCCUCCGACAGUCCGACCCCGUGCACGGACCACCGACCGCGGGCACGCGGACAGGCCUGCGGCCUCACCGCCGCCAAGACCAGGCCGGGCCGGGGUUGUGGUGCGUGGUCGGAGUCGGCGUUAGGGCCGGGUCGGGGGUCCAGGCCGGGGUCUGGCGCCCGCUCCCCUCGAGCUCCCGGCUCUGC
rnacentral:lncRNA from 1 species